rnacentral:rRNA from 1 species
AUUGAACGCUGGCGGCAUGCCUUACACAUGCAAGUCGAACGGCAGCACGGGAGCAAUCCCGGUGGCGAGUGGCGAACGGGUGAGUAAAGUAUCGGAACGUGCCCAGUCGUGGGGGAUAACGUAGCGAAAGUUACGCUAAUACCGCAUACGAUCUAUGGAUGAAAGCGGGGGAUCGCAAGACCUCGCGCGAUUGGAGCGGCCGAUAUCAGAUUAGGUAGUUGGUGGGGUAAAGGCUCACCAAGCCGACGAUCUGUAGCUGGUCUGAGAGGACGACCAGCCACACUGGGACUGAGACACGGCCCAGACUCCGACGGGAGGCAGCAGUGGGGAAUUUUGGACAAUGGGCGAAAGCCUGAUCCAGCCAUGCCGCGUGCAGGAUGAAGGCCUUCGGGUUGUAAACUGCUUUUGUACGGAACGAAAAGGUUUGGCCUAAUAAGCUGAGCUCAUGACGGUACCGUAAGAAUAAGCACCGGCUAACUACGUGCCAGCCGCCGCGGUAA